GGAGUUGGCUGCCCAGAAAUCUGAGAGAAAAUAAGACAUGUAAAGUCCUGCUCACCCAUGAAAGUUUCUAAAUACAGGAGCUCUGAUUCUAAAAUCAUCUCCAUUUAUAUUGGUUUAUCUUUUUAAGACACUUUGUUGUUUCAGAGCUACCUUGCCAUGAAGAUUCAUUACCUUUUCUUUGCUCUUUUCUUCCUUGGCCAGCUGUCUACCUCAGGAACUGAAGAUGCUUAUGAAGUCAUUAGUAUCAUGGACUGUAAAAAUCAAACACUGUGUAAUUCUCAGAAUACAACUAGACACUGCUCUCAUGGGAAGGAGAUUGAACUAUGUGUCUUGCGUCUUGGAAAAAAUGCAAAGCGACUCACUAACCAUGAAGAAACAGCAAAUUAGGAAGACAGGAUGAUCAAUUUCCUUGUCUUAUUAAAAAAUAAAGUCUGCUUUCUUUUCUCUCUCCUUUUA
rnacentral:lncRNA from 1 species